GUAGAACAGUGAGCAGAGAGGUAGACAGUAUAUGGAGAGGUAGAACAGAGAGGUAGAACAGUGUGGAGAGGUAGAAUAGUGUAUGGAGAGGUAGAGCAGAGAGGUAGAACAGUGUGGAGAGGUAGAACAGUGUAUGGAGAGGUAGAACAGUGUGGAGAGGUAGAAUAGUGUAUGGAGAGGUAGAGCAGAGAGGUAGAACAGUGUGGAGGGUAGAACAGUGUAUGGAGAGGUAGAGCAGAGAGUAGAACAGUGUGGAGAGGUA